AAGGACUUAAGUUAAUUAAACUCGCAACCUUCAAAGUUGUAAAUGAAAUUUUUUCAGGCCUUA
rnacentral:tRNA from 1 species